rnacentral:rRNA from 1 species
GAUGAACGCUGGCGGUAUGCUUAACACAUGCAAGUCGAACGCAGACUUUCGGGUCUUAGUGGCGGACGGGUGAGUAACGCGUGAGAAUCUAGCUUCAGGUUGGGGACAACCACGGGAAACGGUGGCUAAUACCCAAUGUGCCGUUAAGGUGAAAGAUUAAUUGCCUGAAGAUGCGCUCGCGUCUGAUUCGCUAGUUGGUGAGGUAAGAGCUCACCAAGGCGACGAUCAGUAGCUGGUCUGAGAGGACGAUCAGCCACACUGGGACUGAGACACGGCCCAGACGGAUACGGGAGGAAGGAGUGGGGAAUUGACGGAAAAGGGCGGAAGGAUGAAGGAGGAAUACCGCGUGAGAGAGGAAGGCUAUUGGGUUGUAAAAAUCUUGUAACAGGGAAGAAAGGAAUGAAGGGAACUUAGGAAGAAGGACAGGCUAAACCAGUG